GACGAACGCUGGCGGCGUGCUUAACACAUGCAAGUCGAACGGAAAGGCCCUGCUUUUGUGGGGUGCUCGAGUGGCGAACGGGUGAGUAACACGUGAGUAACCUGCCCUUGACUUUGGGAUAACUUCAGGAAACUGGGGCUAAUACCGGAUAGGAUCUCCUGCUGCAUGGUGGGGGUUGGAAAGUUUCGGCGGUUGGGGAUGGACUCGCGGCUUAUCAGCUUGUUGGUGGGGUAGUGGCUUACCAAGGCUUUGCCGGGUAGCCGGCCUGAGAGGGUGACCGGCCACAUGGGGACUGAGAUACGGCCCAGACUCCAACGGGAGGCAGUAGUGGGGAAUAUUGCACAAUGGGCGGAAGCCUGAUGCAGCAACGCCGCGUGCGGGAUGACGGCCUUCGGGCUGUAAACCGCUUUCGCCUGUGACGAAGCGUGAGUGACGGUAAUAGGUAAAGAAGCACCGGCUAACUACGUG
rnacentral:rRNA from 1 species